rnacentral:tRNA from 1 species
GCCUGGGUGGCUCAGUCGGUUGAGCGUCCGACUUCGGCUCAGGUCAUGAUCUCACAGCUCGUGGGUUCGAGCCCCGCGUCGGGCU